UUUAGAGGAAGUAAAAGUCGUAACAAGGUUUCCGUAGGUGAACCUGCGGAAGGAUCAUUACCUAGAGUUUGUAGACUUCGGUCUGCUACCUCUUACCCAUGUCUUUUGAGUACCUUCGUUUCCUCGGCGGGUCCGCCCGCCGAUUGGACAACAUUCAAACCCUUUGCAGUUGCAAUCAGCGUCUGAAAAAACAUAAUAGUUACAACUUUCAACAACGGAUCUCUUGGUUCUGGCAUCGAUGAAGAACGCAGCGAAAUGCGAUAAGUAGUGUGAAUUGCAGAAUUCAGUGAAUCAUCGAAUCUUUGAACGCACAUUGCGCCCCUUGGUAUUCCAUGGGGCAUGCCUGUUCGAGCGUCAUUUGUACCUUCAAGCUCUGCUUGGUGUUGGGUGUUUGUCUCGCCUCUGCGUGUAGACUCGCCUUAAAACAAUUGGCAGCCGGCGUAUUGAUUUCGGAGCGCAGUACAUCUCGCGCUUUGCACUCAUAACGACGACGUCCAAAGUACAUUUUUACACUCUUGACCUCGGAUCAGGUAGGGAUACCCGCUGAACUUAAGCAUAUCAAUAAG
rnacentral:rRNA from 1 species